rnacentral:lncRNA from 1 species
AAAUGACAAGUUGUCGUUAAAAAGUUAAAAAAGUUAAAAAAGGAAAAAUCAAAGAAAGCCGUGAGAUGAGGUAGAAGAAGAAGAAAGAACCACACACACACACGAGUCAUGAGUCACGACGACACAACUUUUUGGUUUCCGACGUGUCUGCCCUUCUCCUCGUAUCUCUUUGGUCGACCAGACGACCUUUUCUUACCGGCUUUUUAUAAUUUCUCUUUCUAGUACGAUACAAAACUACGCGUAAAAUGUAAGAGUCUUUUUUUUUUUUUGGCUAUAAGAUUAAUUUAUUUGAGUCAAAAUCUCGUAUGUAUUUUUUAUUUGUUACAAAAAUUAGUUUAACUAAAAUUGUUUAUUUUGUGAUUAGAGUAUUCGUU